rnacentral:rRNA from 1 species
AGGGAGCCUGAGAAACGGCUACCACAUCCAAGGAAGGCAGCAGGCGCGCAAAUUACCCAAUCCAGACAUUGGGAGGUAGUGACGAGAAAUACUGGGGGCUCUCCUCGAGUGCCAUCCGGAAUGRACGUAACACAAAAAAUUCGAUGAGGAUCUACUGGAGGGCAAGUCUGGUGCCAGCAGCCGCGGUAAUUCCAGCUCCAGUAGUGUAUAUCAACAUUGUUGCGCUUGGAACGCUCGUAGUUGGAUUAMAGAGCYCUAAACGCUGGASUCCCAAUUGACAUACGGCGGGCGUACCAAUCAGCAGACGACCUAAUUGCACCGGAAUGGUGGAAUGGCCUGGGGCUUUUUGAUCGCACCCGAUCUGGGAUGCGGCCUUUGGUGGCUGUGUCUGGAGGCCGGUGGAGYGUGCCUUGAAUAAAGCAUAGUGCUCAAAGCAGGCGUACGCUCGUGUGUAAUAGCAUGGAACGAAUAGAGGUUGUGGCCGGGGCGUUGCAGGCAAGUCAGCUGCAUACUGUCACCAGUAGGUGUGCGGCUGGAGGGUAGUGCGRCGCCCAGACUCUGGCGUGUUGGUUGGAGUAGGUGGUCUAGCCGGUUAACAGGGACAUAUGAUGGCACUAGUACUUUGUGGCGAGAGGUGAAAUUCGUAGACCCGCAAAAGACUAACUAUUGCGAAAGCAUUUGCCAAGAAUGUUUUCAUUAAUCAAGAACGAAGGUCAGAGGAUCGAAGACGAUCAGAUACCGUCCUAGUUUUGACAGCAAACUAUGCCAGCAUAGGGUCAGGGCGGGAGCCUGUAAUGAGUUUCAGGUGAAACCACCUUGGGCCUUAGGGGAAACCUAGCUUUCGGGCUGCUGGGAGAAUAUCGCUGCAAGGCUGAAAUUUAAAGAAAUUGACGGAGAGGCACCACCAGGAGUGGAGCCUGCGGCUUAAUUUGACUCAACACGGGGAAACUCACCAGGUCCAGACAUUGGCAGGAUUGACAGACUGGUGGAUCUUUCAUGAUUCAGUGAAUGGUGGUGCAUGGCCGUUCUUAGUUGGUGGAGUGAUCUGUCAGGUUUAUUCCGGUAACGAGACGAGAGUCACGGCGUCCUCUUGGUUGAAUGGGUACCCUUGCUGCUGGUGGGUGGUGUUCUGCACCGCCGACUUGUCUAGUAAGGGAGGCCAUCAUAGAGGGACUAUUGGCGGAUAUAGGUUUUCAAGCCAGGGGAAGCGUGGCAAUAACAGGUCUGUGAUGCCCUUUGAUGUCCUGGGCUGCACGCGCGCUACAAUGGCAGCAGUAGAGAGUGGUAACUGGCCAGAGAUGGUCGGUAAAGCUGAAAAUGGCUGUCGUGAUAGGGAUUGAGCCUUGUAAUUGUUGCUCAUGAAAGAGGAAUUCCUCGUAAGCACUAGUCAUCAGCUAGUGUUGAAUACGUCUCUGCCUCUUGUACACACCGCCCGUCGCUACUACCGAUUGAAUUG